rnacentral:rRNA from 1 species
GAUGAACGCUGGCGGCGUGCCUAAUACAUGCAAGUCGAGCGAACGGACGAGAAGCUUGCUUCUCUGAUGUUAGCGGCGGACGGGUGAGUAACACGUGGAUAACCUACCUAUAAGACUGGGAUAACUUCGGGAAACCGGAGCUAAUACCGGAUGACAUUUUGAACCGCAUGGUUCAAAAGUGAAAGACGGUCUUGCUGUCACUUAUAGAUGGAUCCGCGCUGCAUUAGCUAGUUGGUAAGGUAACGGCUUACCAAGGCAACGAUGCAUAGCCGACCUGAGAGGGUGAUCGGCCACACUGGAACUGAGACACGGUCCAGACUCCUACGGGAGGCAGCAGUAGGGAAUCUUCCGCAAUGGGCGAAAGCCUGACGGAGCAACGCCGCGUGAGUGAUGAAGGUCUUCGGAUCGUAAAACUCUGUUAUUAGGGAAGAACAUAUGUGUAAGUAACUAUGCACAUCUUGACGGUACCUAAUCAGAAAGCCACGGCUAACUACGUG